rnacentral:lncRNA from 1 species
GUCUUUCCCAUGCUAUUCUCGUGGUGGUGAAUAAGUCUCACAAGAUCUGACGGGUUUAUCAGGGGUUUCCGCUUUUGCUUCUUCCUCAUUUUUCUCUUGCCCCUUGCCACGCAAGAAGUGCCUUUUGCCUCCCACCAUAAUUCUGAGGCCUCCCCAACCAUGUGGAACUGCCUAUCUGUUUGCAAGUCUGCACUGUUUGAGAACCUCUUGAAAGCCCCACAGAGCUUGUUGGUGUCACCCUGGUUCUGGGCACACUCCAAAAACUGUUUGAUCUCAUGGAAACAAGGCUGCUGCUGCUGUGCUGGCCAGGUUCCCUGAUGCUGCUGAUGGAGUCUCACUUUGUCACCAAGCUGGAGUGUGGUGGCAUGAUCUUGGCUCACUGCAACCUCCCAGGUUCAAGCUAUUCUCCUGCCUCAGCCUCCCGAGUAGCUGGGACUACAGGCGCACGCCACCACACCCAGCUAAUUUUUGUAUUUUUAGUAGAGACAGGGUUUCACCAUGUUCGCCAGGGUGGUCUCUAUUUCUUGACCUCGUGAUUUGCCCACCUUGGCCUUCCAAAGUGCUGGGAUUACAGGCAUGAGUCACUGUGCCCGGCCUAAUUUUGAUUUUUUAAAACAUUUAAUUAAAAUGUUAUUUAAUUACUGAGUUUUUGGUAUCCCUGUCAUUUUUGUGCCCUGGGAAAGAAAGUACCUCCCCACCUUACCCAGCCCUGGCCCUGCUGGAGAGGCAGUAGGGGUUAGGAAGGCGCUGUGGGACGUGGGAUUAGGUAAGCAUGGCAUUUUUCUGAGUGUUAUAUGAGGUGUUUUGAAGAGAAAGUCUUAAAGGCACCAAGGUGGGUGUACUAGUCUGCUCAAGCUGCCAUCACAAAAUCCCUAAGGCUGGAUGGCCCAAACAAUGAACACUUAUUUUCUCAUAGCUCUGGAGGCUGGAAAUCCAAGGUCAAGGUGCCUGCAGGGUAGGUUUCUGGUGAGGCCUCUCUCCCUGGCUCGCAGAUGUCCACCUUCUCACUGGAUGCUCACAUGAACUCUUUUUUUGUGUUCACUUGGAGAGAGAGUCAUGGUGCCAGUUCUUUUUCUUUUCUGAGACAGAGCCUCACUCUGUCACCUAGGCUGGAGUGCAGUGGUGUGAUCAUGGCUCACUGCAGCC